GAUGAAGAACGUAGUGAAAUGCGAUACGUAAUGUGAAUUGCAGAAUUCAGUGAAUCAUCGAGUCUUUGAACGCACAUUGCGCCCCCUGGUAUUCCGGGGGGCAUGCCUGUCCGAGCGUCAUUGCUGCCCUCAAGCACGGCUUGUGUGUUGGGCCUCCGUCCUCCUCCCGGGGGACGGGCCCGAAAGGCAGCGGCGGCACCGCGUCCGGUCCUCGAGCGUAUGGGGCUUCGUCACCCGCUCUUGUAGGCCCGGCCGGCGCUUGCCGACACAUCAAUAUUUUUUCCAGGUUGACCUCGGAUCAGGUAGGGAUACCCGCUGAACUUAAGCAUAUCAAUAAGCGGAGGA
rnacentral:misc_RNA from 1 species